GGUAAACGCUGGCGGCGUGCCUAAAACAUGCAAGUCGCACGGGGCGCUUCGGCGUCCAGUGGCGGACGGCUGAGUAACGCGUGGGCGACCGGCCCGGAGAUGGGGAACAACCGUUCGAAAGAGCGGCUAAUUCCGCAUACGCCUGUCUGUUCGAUCAGAUAGGGAAAGCAGGCAACUGUGUCUCCGGAGGGGCCCGCGUCCGAUUAGCUGGUUGGUGGGGUGACGGCCUACCAAGGCGANGAUCGGUAGCUGGUCUGAGAGGAUGAUCAGCCAGACUGGGACUGCGAGACGGCCCAGACUCCUACGGGAGGCAGCAGUUAGGAAUUUGGGCAAUGGGCGCAAGCCUGACCCAGCAACGCCGCGUGGGUGACGACGGCCU
rnacentral:rRNA from 1 species